rnacentral:rRNA from 1 species
UACAGAGGGUGCAAGCGUUGUUCGGAAUUAUUGGGCGUAAAGGGCGCGUAGGCGGCCUUCUAAGUCGAACGUGAAAUCCCCGGGCUCAACCCGGGAACUGCGUCCGAUACUGGAAGGCUUGAAUCCGGGAGAGGGAUGCGGAAUUCCAGGUGUAGCGGUGAAAUGCGUAGAUAUCUGGAGGAACACCGGUGGCGAAGGCGCAUCCUGGACCGGUAUUGACGCUGAGGCGCGAAAGCCAGGGGAGCAAACGGG